rnacentral:rRNA from 1 species
GACGAACGCUGGCGGCGUGCUUAACACAUGCAAGUCGAACGGAAAGGCCCUGCUUUUGUGGGGUGCUCGAGUGGCGAACGGGUGAGUAACACGUGAGUAACCUGCCCUUGACUUUGGUAUAACUUCAGGAAACUGGGGCUAAUACCGGAUAGGAGCUCCUGCUGCAUGGUGGGGGUUGGAACGUUUCGGCGGUUGGGGAUGGACUGGCGGCUUAUCAGCUUGUUGGUGGGGUAGUGGCUUACCAAGGCCUUGACGGGUAGCCGGACUGAGUGGGUGACCGGCCACAUUGGGACUGAGAGACGGCCCAGACUCCUAAGGGAGGCAGAAGUGGGGAAUAUUGAACAAUGGGCGGAAGCCUGAUGCAGCAACGCCGCGUGCGGGAUGACGGCCUUCGGGUUGUAAACCGCUUUCGCCUGUGACGAGGCGUGAGUGACGGUAAUGGGUAAAGAAGCACCGGCUAACUACGUG